AUUGAACGCUGGCGGCAUGCUUUACACAUGCAAGUCGAACGGCAGCGCGGGCUUCGGCCUGGCGGCGAGUGGCGAACGGGUGAGUAAUACAUCGGAACGUGCCCAGUAGUGGGGGAUAGCUCGGCGAAAGCCGGAUUAAUACCGCAUACGACCUGAUGGUGAAAGCGGGGGAUCUUCGGACCUCGCGCUAUUGGAGCGGCCGAUGGCAGAUUAGCUAGUUGGUGGGGUAAAGGCCUACCAAGGCGACGAUCUGUAGCUGGUCGGAGAGGACGACCAGCCACACUGGGACUGAGACACGGCCCAGACUCCUACGGGAGGCAGCAGUGGGGAAUUUUGGACAAUGGGCGAAAGCCUGAUCCAGCAAUGCCGCGUGUGUGAUGAAGGCCUUCGGGUUGUAAAGCACUUUUGGCGGGAACGAAAAGGACUGUGCCAAUACCACGGUUCGAUGACGGUACCCGCAGAAUAAGCACCGGCUAACUACGUG
rnacentral:rRNA from 1 species